rnacentral:misc_RNA from 1 species
UAAAUUUUAAUUUCAAAUUUAUUGCCAAAUUUUAACGAAUCAUUGAUUAACUGAUUGAUAUGACACGAAACAUUGAUUAACUGAUUGAUAUGACACGUUUCACUUUAUAUAUCUUAAUUCUAAAACUGGCCGAAUAUUUCACACAAAAAUUCGAGAUUUAUUAAAGGAAGUUUUUUCGUGAUGCGAAUGGUAUUUCUCAUAGACUAAUGUGUUAACAUAGUCAAUAAGCUUUUGACAUUCUGUUAAUGUUAUUUCAACCAUUACUAUAUACCUACACUUAUUAUAUAUAUCUACACUUGUUAUAUUCCUAAAACUGUUUUAUAAUGAUUCAUUUUUCAUCUAUGUCGUCCUGCUAUAUUUUUCAUUUUUAAUCCUUUUAAAAAUUUAUAAAAUUUUUAGCAAUAAGUCUUUGAAAUAAAAUAUAAUUUAGUGACACUUCAGCAUUAGCAUAUAUCUCACGUGUAAUAGCGAUAUUAUUGAAUUAUUGUUUUUUGCAAGCUUUAGAAAUGCGGCUACACCCUUCUUACCGCCCGUUCGUUACGCACUGCAGUGUACAACGAGCUCGGUGGGGAUGCGGGGUGAGUGCGCAGUUUACACUACCGACUUUGUGCUUCUGUGCCUUCUUCUUUCAGUCACAAUCGAAAGUUUCUGACUCUUGGAACGAUCACUUCAGAUUCUGUUUUAUGAUCGCCAUACUAUUCAGCAUUCUGCCGAUCCUGUGGCUCCAGAAGAUUGAAGCGAGCGUACUGGUCGCCGACACUACUAUGUCCAGAAUGGUAGAGUUGAACGCCGACGCGCCCUUUUGCGCUCUUUAUAGUGAUCGUGGGACCAUCCAGAGAAUGGUGCUCGGUGCAGAUCCCAGGAAGGUUCGACAAAUUUCCAGCAACCUUGUCGCGGACCUCGAAGAGACCUGUAAAGCUUCACAAAACAAAGGAAAGAAUCAAGGACCUGGCAGUGGUUUAAUAUAUCCGGGUACCAAAUGGUGCGGGCCGGGCAAUGUGACAGUUGGCUAUAACGAUUUGGGUCAACAUUCGGCUGAAGACGCCUGUUGCAGGGAACAUGAUCAUUGUCCGUACACGAUAGCGCCGCAAGAGUGUAUACACGGUAUAUGCAAUAAUUCACCAUUUACUCGCUCACAUUGCGAUUGCGAUGCCAAAUUCCGCAGAUGUUUACAAAAUCUCAAUACCGAAGUGGCUAAUACCCUCGGUGCGUUAUUCUUCAACGUUAUCCAGGUCACCUGCUUCAAAGAAAGAAGACCGUGUUCACAGUGGCAAAGUUGCAUUUUACAAUGGGAGAAGUCCCCAAGCUAUUUCCCAAACGAAUUAUCAGAGAGUAGAGGAUUCCGAAGACCACUGUUGACAACCUUCUCCUUCAUACUUAAGGAUUUUAUGGUCAGCCAGAGAAAUUUUCCUUAAGCUGUCACAUCUUUAUUUGAAGAGAUUUCAAAAUAUAAAAAAAGGACUUUGCGCUAAAUGGCUAUGCAGAGGCUGUGUCUGAUCGAUUGUGCUCGCAAUACAAGUUUCGACCUAGCGAUAAGUAUGUGCCCCUAAUGCCUUCAAAUAUGAAAUAAAUUUGGAAGCAAUAGAAGGACAGCCCCAAAAACGAUAGAAUGGUCCAAAUAGAUAGGCCAAUGAUUCAAUAUGUGAUUACAAUAUAAUAAUAACAUUCUUUAUAUCAAAUUGCCGUCCUUACUAUUGCACAUUAAUAUAUAGGAUAUCAAAUAAUACAUACCAUAAAGAUUAAGUUAUGUCAAUCCUUUUAUAAUAGUGCAAUAUAUAGAUAUUGUCUGGAGCUUAUAGAUGAUAGACAACUCUUUAUCCUUAAACUAAAUUUAUCUUACUGUAUAUAUUUAAUGCACCUCAUUUCAAUGACUCUAUUAAGAGUUUGGC